rnacentral:rRNA from 1 species
CCUACGGGUGGCAGCAGUGGGGAAUAUUGCACAAUGGGGGAAACCCUGAUGCAGCGACGCCGCGUGAGUGAAGAAGUAAUUCGUUACGUAAAGCUCUAUCAGCAGGGACGAAGCAAGUGACGGUACCUGAUGAAUAAGCCACGGCUAACUACGUGCCAGCAGCCGCGGUAAUACGUAGGUGGCAAGCGUUAUCCGGAUUUACUGGGUGUAAAGGGCGUGUAGGCGGGAAAGCAAGUCAGAUGUGAAAACCAUGGGCUCAACCUGUGGCCUGCAUUUGAAACUGUUUUUCUUGAGUACUGGAGAGGCAGACGGAAGUCCUAGUGUAGCGGUGAAAUGCGUAGAUAUUAGGAGGAACACCGGUGGCGAAGGCGGCUUACUGGACCGUAACUGACGUUGAGGCUCGAAAGCGUGGGGAGCAAACAGGAUUAGAUACCCGAGUAGUC